AUAUUAAAAAUUUCACUCACACAUACACAUUUCAUACAAAAAAAUUUGAGGUAAUUUUUUAAGCUUUUGAGCAAAUAAAUAAAUAAAUUAUUAUUUAAAAAAAAAAAAAUUUGUGAAAAAAUAAAAAAACCAAAAAUAUAUGAAAAUCCUUCAUGUUUCGUAAAAUAUCGUUAUGUUUUGUAAAUAAGAAAAACUAUCUAUUUAUUUUGUAAUAAAGAUUUUUUCAUUAUUUAUUAAUGUUUAAUAACUGCAGGCCGAAGGGCUACUUAAGUAAAAGAUCCAAUUUGUGCAAAUUAGACUAUUUUGCGCAACUUACUGCGACACCCAUUCUUUUGAGAUAUCCGCGUUCACACUUUGCUUUGUUACUUUCAUCACAAACAGUUGGGGUAACUGCACACUCAAAUAUGGUUGCUGCUGCUUAUCACCAAGCCAUACACCUCAUAAGUUGCAGCUGUCUCGCCGUCAAUGAGGGUUCUAGGAACUUCUUGGUCACAUCUUCAUCUGGGAAUUUUAAACUGAAACCACUGUUUAGAAAAGAAAGAUGCAGUUUGAGGCAGCCCGUAAACUGCGUGGGGCAUUCGUCAAAUUCAUCUUUAUCUGUUGUUAAGCCAAUGUUAUCCUUAUUGUCAAGUACCAAUGAUUCUAAGAGAACAGUACCUGAAUCAUACUUGAUCUUAAUACGGCAUGGAGAAUCGAUGUGGAACGAAAAGAACCUGUUCACUGGUUGUGUCGAUGUGCCACUUACCAAUAAAGGAGUAGAAGAAGCAAUUGAAGCCGGUAAGAGAAUCAGACACCUACCCAUUGAUGUCGUCUACAUCUCUGCAUUGAUUCGUUCUCAGAUGACGGCCAUGCUUGCUCUAACAGAGCACCACUGCAAGAAGGUGCCCAUUAUUGUACACAAUGAGACUGAACAAGCCAAACUAUGGAGUCAAAUUUAUAGUGAAGGCACUGAGAUGCAAUCAGUUCCUGUUAUUAGAGCAUGGCAACUGAACGAAAGAAUAAGGAUGUUGUUUUACAGGUACGGGGAACUUCAAGGGUUUAAUAAGCUGGAAACAGCUGAAAGAUGUGGGAAAGAGCAAGUCUAUAAAUGGCGUCGAAGCUAUGAUGCUCGGCCACCCAAUGGCGAGAGCUUGGAAAUGUGCUUGCGAAGAGCUGUUACCUAUUUCAAAGAGCAAAUUGAACCCCAACUUUCCAGUGGAAAAAAUGUAAUGGUAGUAGCUCAUGCAAAUUCAUUGAGGUCCAUCCUAAUGUAUCUCGAUAAACUGACUGCUGAGGAGGUCCUUGGUAACAGGUUAUCCACUUAGAACUCUCAACUGGAGUACCAAUGCUAUACAUAUAUAAAGAAAAUCGUUUCAUCAGGAGAGGAAGUCCCUUGGGAUCUAUGGAGGCUGGAGUUUAUGCUUAUACAGAGAGUUUGGCCUUGUACAAGCAAAAUCUGUUAGAUGAAGUGCUAGAUGAAGUGUCUUUAUAACUUUUGCUCCUGAAAUUAAAAAGCUAUGAUGCAAGAGUAAAUAUCUUCAUGUUGCUGGAAGUUCCGUUGAGGUGUUUUGAGUCGUCAAUAAUCUUGAGAAACAGCUGAGCCAUGAUGGAAGACAGUUUUAGUAGCUACGUGAUGUAAUAGUCAAUUUAUGGUGCUUUUCAACACAAAUUGAGUCCGUCAUAAUGGUUCAAGUGAGUACGCCAGUGGAGAUCUGUCAACAAUAUGAGGACUUCUUGUGAUUCUACUUGCCUGUUACCUGCUAUUCUCAUUUGAGGAAUUAUGUGAAUUCAUUCUUUAUGUUCCUUUAGCCAGGGUUUCUCCCAUUUACAUUAGAUCUUUGUUUUCUUUGGAGGGUUUAAGUUACAGAUUAGAUUGAGAGUACAAGAAAAAUGUUUGUAGGUAACAACGACGGCUUUCAAAAUUUCCUUUUCUUGGUCCUGGAAGAUCACUUCUAUAUGUUCAUUAUUGAUUUAUUUCUGCUUUUCCAAGUAUAAUGGUUUGGUUUACGUUU